AUUGAACGCUGGCGGCAGGCUUAACACAUGCAAGUCGAGCGAGCGGCGGACGGGUGAGUAAUGUCUGGGAAACUGCCUGAUGGAGGGGGAUAACUACUGGAAACGGUAGCUAAUACCGCAUACCAUCAGAUGUGCCCAGAUGGGAUUAGCUAGUAGGUGGGGUAAUGGCUUACCUAGGCGACGAUCCCUAGCUGGUCUGUGAGGAGGAACAGCAACACGGAGACGGAGGAACGGUCCAGACUCAUACGGGAGGCAGCAGUGGGGAAUAUUGCACAAUGGUCGCAAGCCUGAUGAAGCCAUGCCGCGUGUGUGAAGAAGGCCUUCGGGUUGUAAAGCACUUUCAGCCGGGAUGCGUUACUGACAGAAGAAGCACCGGCUAACUCCGUGCCAGCAGCCGCGGUAAUAC
rnacentral:rRNA from 1 species